GCUUGCUUCUCUGAUGUUAGCGGCGGACGGGUGAGUAACACGUGGGUAACCUACCUAUAAGACUGGGAUAACUCCGGGAAACCGGGGCUAAUACCGGAUAAUAUUUUGAACCGCAUGGUUCAAUAGUGAAAGACGGUUUCGGCUGUCACUUAUAGAUGGACCCGCGCCGUAUUAGCUAGUUGGUAAGGUAACGGCUUACCAAGGCGACGAUACGUAGCCGACCUGAGAGGGUGAUCGGCCACACUGGAACUGAGACACGGUCCAGACUCCUACGGGAGGCAGCAGUAGGGAAUCUUCCGCAAUGGGCGAAAGCCUGACGGAGCAACGCCGCGUGAGUGAUGAAGGUCUUCGGAUCGUAAAACUCUGUUGUUAGGGAAGAACAAAUUUGUUAGUAACUGAACAAGUCUUGACGGUACCUAACCAGAAAGCCACGGCUAACUACGUGCCAGCAGCCGCGGUAAUACGUAGGUGGCAAGCGUUAUCCGGAAUUAUUGGGCGUAAAGCGCGCGUAGGCGGUUUCUUAAGUCUGAUGUGAAAGCCCACGGCUCAACCGUGGAGGGUCAUUGGAAACUGGGAAACUUGAGUGCAGAAGAGGAGAGUGGAAUUCCAUGUGUAGCGGUGAAAUGCGCAGAGAUAUGGAGGAACACCAGUGGCGAAGGCGGCUCUCUGGUCUGUAACUGACGCUGAUGUGCGAAAGCGUGGGGAUCAAACAGGAUUAGAUA
rnacentral:rRNA from 2 species